rnacentral:rRNA from 1 species
GACGAACGCUGGCGGCGUGCUUAACACAUGCAAGUCGAACGGAAAGGCCCUGCUUUUGUGGGGUGCUCGAGUGGCGAACGGGUGAGUAACACGUGAGUAACCUGCCCUUGACUUUGGGAUAACUUCAGGAAACUGGGGCUAAUACCGGAUAGGAGCUCCUGCUGCAUGGUGGGGGUUGGAAAGUUUCGGCGGUUGGGGAUGGACUCGCGGCUUAUCAGCUUGUUGGUGGGGUAGUGGCUUACCAAGGCUUUGACGGGUAGCCGGCCUGAGAGGGUGACCGGCCACAUUAGGACUGAGAUACGGCCCAGACUCCUACGGGAGGCAACAGAGGAGAAUAUUGCACAAUGGGCGGAAGCCUGGUGCGGCAACGCCGCGUGCGGGAUGACGGCCUUCGGGUUGUAAACCGCUUUCGCCUGUGACGAAGCGUGAGUGACGGUAAUGGGUAAAGAAGCACCGGCUAACUACGUG